rnacentral:pre_miRNA from 1 species
AGUGGGCUUGCUGGAUCACAUGGUAGCUUUGCUUUUAAUUUUUGAGAAACUGCCAUAUUGUUUUCCAUAGUGGCUGUACCAUUUUUUUCAUUUCCACCAGCAAU